rnacentral:tRNA from 1 species
GCCCCCAUCGUCUAGCGGCCUAGGACAUCGCCCUCUCACGGCGAAGACAGGGGUUCAAAUCCCCUUGGGGGUACCA